AAAAGCUCCCGACUCGCAGGCACCGCAUCUGAUUGUUCUUGUAAUUCUCUGAUUUAGCCUUAACCUUGUGCUAUUGUGCUGUGUGUAUGCAUGGUUAAAUUCUUCUCGAUAAGCCUGAAGUAUGUAGUGUUCCUUUUGGAUAUUAUGGUUGAUGUAUAAACGGCAUAUGCUUAUAUUUGGUGCUUGUACCGUAGGUGAGGUCUAUCAUAAUAUGCAGCUAUUGCUUUAACUGAGAGCGCACAUGCUAGUAAACUAGUACUAUUUCAGAUGCAAAUACUAGUGCUAUAAGAAAAUUUUUUGCUAGUUUUUCAGUUGUUACUUAAUUAUAAACACAUGUACUUUAAAUCCUGACCACUUUAUGAAUCAGCAUAUUUGAUGCAAACCAUUUUCAUUAUCGGCUACUUAUCAAUGUCCAUUGGCAACAAAAUGCAGUAGGACAAUAUGACACCUCAAUGCUGAAAAGUCUACCUGAGAUUCAUAAGCUUAAGGAAAUGAAGAUUCUGUCGCACUACAUGGUUGUCUGGAAGCCUUUCUAAAAAAAGAGGAACAGUUGGGCCCAGAAGACAUGUGGUACUGCCCAUGCUGCAAAAAGCAUCAACAAGCGAUGAAGAAAUUAGAUCUGUGGAGGCUACCGGAAGUUCUGGUCAUUCAUCUCAAAAGCAUGAAGAAGGGAAGGGAUGGUACAAGUUUGAUGAUGAGUGCGUGAGACCUAUAACUGAAGACAGUAUAAAGACACCUGCUGCUUAUGUGCUGUUCUACACACGAGAAUGAUCAAGAUACAGCUGCAAUACAUCAAAUAUUUUUUCGGGAUGUUUUGCCAAGUCUAGAUCUUCCUACAUAUUCAACAAAUGGGGCACUUGAAUCUCUCAAGUCACUAACCUAUACAACAGCAUGUACAGAUUCAAUUGCCGACAGGACAACAAAAGACCUAGCUAAUGAACUAUUCUUUUCCAGAUUCUUUUUGUACAUGGCUUGGGGGUCCUACAAUGUAAUAGCCUGCUAGUGAUUAGCCUUGGUUCUACAAAAUUCUUUUUGUCAACGAAUUGUUGAGAAUAAUUUUAAAACGAUGUAACCUCUCCUUUUAAAUUAACUCGUAUGAUCGAUCUGUUCCUGUCGCGAGUGCGACGCCAUA